rnacentral:tRNA from 1 species
GGGGCUAUAGCUCAGCUGGGAGAGCUCUUGCAUGGCAUGCAAGAGGUCGACGGUUCGAUACCGUCUAGCUCCACCA